GAUGAAGAACGCAGCGAGAUGCGAUAAGUAAUGUGAAUUGCAGAAUUCAGUGAAUCAUCGAAUCUUUGAACGCACAUUGCGCCCCUUGGUAUUCCGAGGGGCAUGCCUAUUCGAGCGUCAUUAUCACCCCUCAAGCCUAGCUUGGUGUUGAGGCCUGCUGUCAAGGCAGCCUCUAAAAUCAGUGGCAGUGCUGUCAGGCUCUAAGCGUAGUAAAUCUAAUCGCUAUAGACACCUGGUGGACACUCGCCAGAACCCCCCCAUUUUUUAAUGAUUGACCUCGGAUUAGGUAGGGAUACCCGCUGAACUUAAGCAUAUCAAUAAGCGGAGGA
rnacentral:misc_RNA from 1 species